rnacentral:rRNA from 1 species
AGAUUGAACGCUGGCGGCAUGCUUUACACAUGCAAGUCGAACGGCAGCGCGGGGUAACCUGGCGGCGAGUGGCGAACGGGUGAGUAAUAUAUCGGAACGUACCCAAGAGUGGGGGAUAACGUAGCGAAAGUUACGCUAAUACCGCAUACGAUCUAAGGAUGAAAGCAGGGGACCGCAAGGCCUUGUGCUCCUGGAGCGGCCGAUAUCUGAUUAGCUAGUUGGUAGGGUAAAGGCCUACCAAGGCUACGAUCAGUAGCUGGUCUGAGAGGACGACCAGCCACACUGGAACUGAGACACGGUCCAGACUCCUACGGGAGGCAGCAGUGGGGAAUUUUGGACAAUGGGCGCAAGCCUGAUCCAGCAAUGCCGCGUGAGUGAAGAAGGCCUCGGUGUAAGAUCUUUGUUCUA